UUUUAUGUAUAUGAUAUACAUAACCCAGUUCAGAUUAGAUUGAACUUAACCGGAAAACAGAUCUGGCUGAAAACAGAAUUAAUUUGUUAAAUUCAUUCCAAUCAGAUCAAGUUUUAAUUUUGCAAUACCCACCCCAAACCUAAUCUGUUACCAUCCUUAAAUGUUUCUUGAUGGGCAACAACAUCCCCCCAAUUGAUAAAAUGAUCCUCUUAAACUCACUUGAAGAAGGAAGAGAAUGUUUCUCAUAACUCUCUCAACACUCUCUUUAUAUCU
rnacentral:lncRNA from 1 species